ACGGGAGGCAGCAGUGGGGAAUAUUGGACAAUGGGCGCAAGCCUGAUCCAGCCAUACCGCGUGGGUGAAGAAGGCCUUCGGGUUGUAAAGCCCUUUUGUUGGGAAAGAAAUCCAGCCGGCUAAUACCUGGUUGGGAUGACGGUACCCAAAGAAUAAGCACCGGCUAACUUCGUGCCAGCAGCCGCGGUAAUACGAAGGGUGCAAGCGUUACUCGGAAUUACUGGGCGUAAAGCGUGCGUAGGUGGUUGUUUAAGUCUGUUGUGAAAGCCCUGGGCUCAACCUGGGAACUGCAGUGGAAACUGGACAACUAGAGUGUGGUAGAGGGUAGCGGAAUUCCCGGUGUAGCAGUGAAAUGCGUAGAGAUCGGGAGGAACAUCCAUGGCGAAGGCAGCUACCUGGACCAACACUGACACUGAGGCACGAAAGCGUGGGGAGCAAACAGGAUUAGAUACCCUGGUAGUCCACGCCCUAAACGAUGCGAACUGGAUGUUGGGUGCAAUUUGGCACGCAGUAUCGAAGCUAACGCGUUA
rnacentral:rRNA from 1 species